GAAGACUGUUUGUUUUUAUUUAACUACAUCAUUUUCAUUGUGCUGCAGGGUAUAUUUUGAAAAUUAUGUCUCUUCCAGUUACUCUCUUGAGUCUGACUGAUGUUAGAGCACUGACCUGAGAUGGAAAGUCAAAUACUAAAAAGCAAGAUAACAUUUGGUUCAUCACUGCAAGACUCAAAAAAGGCUGGCCUCUAAGACAGGGAACAGAGAGAGACUUUCUGUGCCCUUCAAUUCUGCAAUGGCAAAGAAGCUUUUCAUAGCGGAGCACAUGUAAGUAAUAUGCUAAAGAAUGAAUGAGUAGCUAAAAUAUUUUG
rnacentral:lncRNA from 1 species